GGUUGAAGUAGGGCCUCCCCGUUGGGCUAGAAGGAACAAUCCAUUGUCUGUCAGAGAGGGCAUAGUCUCUUCUGGAAGGUGAGGUUCAUCUUCAAGCUCUUUCUUUCCAAAGUGUAUUUCCUAAAGUAGAAACUGGGACUAAGUAGAAGGAUUCCCAGGAAUAGCCAAGCCAGACUCUCUCUUGGCUCCAGCAAAAUCAGAGUAGUUCUAGAGAGAGAAGUGGUGAGACGGCACCUCCCAAGGAGGAGACCAAAGCCAGGACAAGGAACCCGAAAGGUGCCACAGUUGCAUCAGAACCCUGGGCCUAGAGUAUGUGUGACAAUUCCAGAUGUCAACCGGAGAUUUCGUCCUGGGACUAAGUUAACUACACUAUGAGUAUAUAGCUUUUCAACCUAUCUUUUGGGCUUAUUUUUCUCCUUCACAAGGUCAAGUUGAACUUAAAUCAACCAUCAGGGAUACACAGCACACUUAAAAUGGGUUCCCUAUGGCUUAGGGCUUACGAGGAGCAGAGGACAAGAGACACAGGCCUCCCCUCAAGGGGGCUACAGAGUAACUGGAGAGAGAACAAGGCGUGUGAAGGGCCUGAGGAAGUGUACAACUGAUAUGAUUUGUUGUUUCUAUUUUAAGCCCAAAUGAAAAUUAGCAUGAACUCCCCGAGCAGACGCCAGCUGGGCAACAGUGAGAGUGUGAAGCAUCGCGGGAGGAGGGGAGGAGCUGUCCUGAUCCUGGGACUCAGUACUGUUUCCAGUGCAUCCACAAGUGUUGAUCCACGCGUGAACUGUCCGAUAAACCACAAUACCCCUAAAAAGUGAAUCAAUAAGGUUCUUCUGCUUCCUCGGAGGGAGGGCCCACCUAGCAGAAGCUGGAGAGCCCUGGGAACCCCGCAGGGAGGCAAGGCCACUUCAGAGCAGCCUGAUGGAGGCAUCCUUGGAAAGUCUGUCACAGCUGUCUAGCAGUGACCUGCUGGGUGAUGAACAGGAACCUCCACUCUCGUCCAUCCAUAAUGAUGACAAGCAUUCCAGAGAGAAGGCCCGGGGCGGCGGAGACGAUCUGGAGUUGAAGAGAGAGCAAGGCGCAGUGAGAGCACGCCAGGCCCCAGGAUUACUGAAGAGCUAACUCUCCUUCUUGGGAGAGUUAUUGUCUUACCCUAACUGUUGCUGAGACCAUACUGGAAGAAGAUGCUGGUGUGGGAAUCCCCUGGGAAAAAAAGAAUUUUCAUUGUCAAAGGAAAUGCAGCAAAGAGAGCUUCUUCCUACCAAGCCAACAAUGAGUUUGGACUCCUAGGAAACCAUCAUUCAAACCAGGAUUGAGAAGCAACCGUUCCUCCAUCUUCAUGGUGAGCUCUCCCUACGGCCUGAGGGAAAGACCCCUAGGGUUGCAGGUU
rnacentral:lncRNA from 1 species